UGUAUGACCAAAGAUUGGCACUGCCCUGUAUCUCUAACCCCCAGAGGGAUGCAGGAAGGGGUUGACUCAGCCCUCAAGGUACUUGAUGGUUUGUCAAUAACUACCUGUGUUACUGAGAGACCUAGCACAGCACUGAUACAAGACCCCUGAGACAGGGACAGGGUGAAGGUCUGAAUGAAAAUGGCCCCCAGAGACUCACAGGAAGUGGCAUUAUUGGAGGUGUGGCUUUGUUGGAGUAGGUGUGUCCUUGUUUGAAGGAAGUGCGUCACUGGGGGCGGGCUUUGAGGUUUCAGAAGCUCAAGCCAGGCCUAAUGGCUCACUGUCUUUUCCUGCUGCUUGCAGAUACUGAUGUAGAACUCUCAGCUCCCUCUCCAGUGCCAUGUCUGCCCGACUGUAACUUCUGCUGGACUGACGUCCCCUCUGUCCGUACCCCAUAAGCCUACGGCAGGCUUCACGUGGUUGGAGUAGCCUGUUUCUCCUGUGAAGUUUUCUCUGUGUUCCUCCAGACUGCCUUUCAGCUGCAUGAUCACGGCCUCUGCUCUCAGUAUGGGCUGGUUGACAUGGUUCCCUCCACCGGACUGAGCUUCGAGGGCAGGGCAGGGGCCAGGCCUCAGACCUGUGUGCAAUCAAUCAAUAAGCUCAAAUUAUGUUACACAGGUCUAAAUGAUAGACUUCCAUCAAGAUUCCAAUUAGGAGAGAUGGGAAAAUAGGUCCUGGCUCAACCCUUCAGCCCCUUGUGUAACAUCCUAGAGGGUUCCACAAACCUCCAGGUGGGAGAGACCUUGGGGGAAGUCCUGUGGAACCUGAGAUCCUCUGACAUUGCUCAGUGUGUUUUCUCUCUCAUGGGAAGAAAACGGGAUGAACGAACGCAUCGCUAUAGUCAGUGUCUCUUAAGCAAAGUGCACAGAAAUCUGUGGGGUUCUUUCUAAAGGACCUGUGCCAGGUCUACAAUAAGGAAACGACGCCAUGUUUCUAAUUGCCCUAAAGUGUCUCUUUGUCGAGAAAUUAAGGUUGCAGCUUAGUUUCUACUGAAGGCAGGGAUGGAUGCCCUACUGUGUGCUACUGUGUGGGAGAGACAGAGGACAGGCAGAGCAGACCUCAGAGCCUCCUGGCCAUUGCUGGGAAACCCAAGCCUCAACAAAGCACUUCUAUAAGUACAUCUGCUAUAACCUCUACGUAAGCCGUGCCAACGGCAGAGUUCAGACCUUCUGGACAAGAACACCCUGCCUUUGACAGAAUGUUGAAAGCAGUGUGGGAUGGCCUAAGUGUUGGUAAGGAAUGACAGACAGAGAGGCCAACAUACCACUCUUCUCCCUGUGACCUACAAUUUCUGUGACAUCACAAAGUACAGAGUGGCCCUUAGUUUUGGCAGCUGCUGAAGUAGUCAGCUGUUCAUCCCACAAGUCCAAUACGGGUCGGUAAUAGUUUAUUGUUGCAUCUGCUUGUCUCAGGGGACAGAACUGAGUGGCUUUCAGAAUGUGGCUAACAGCAACAGGCUGACCGGGAGCUCCUCAGGGGGACUUGCACUGACCGCUGGUUUCCACCAUGCUGGAUGCUCUCACCGUGAGGUGUCAGUGAUGAGAAGGCUGGAAGUGUCCCCAACUAACCAACAACUGGCUCUGGCCUCGUCCACACCAGGACUACACACCACAGCCUCAAACUCUUGUUAGAGGUCACUAUGGCAUCAGAGUUGAUCCUGAGUGUCAAGCAGAGAUCUCAGACAUGCACGGUGACUUAGGGUUUUACUGCUGUGAACAGACACCAUGACUAAUGCAAGUCUUAUAAGGACAACAUUUAACUGGGGCUGGCUUACAGGUUCAGAGGUUCAGUCCAUUAUCAUCAAGGUGGGAGUAUGGCAGCAUCCAGGCCUGCAUGGUGCAGGAGGAGCUGAGAGUUCUACAUCUUCAUCUGAAGGCUGCUAGGACAAGACUGACUUCCAAGCAGCUAGGAUGAGGGUCUUAAGGCCCAUACCUACAGUGACACACCCACUCCAACAGGGCCACACCUUCUAUAGUGCCACUCCUUGGCCCGGGUAUAUACAAACCAUCACACAUGGUUACGGGCAUCUCCAUUUUCAGGUGAAAUAAAAGGCACAGAGAGGGUAAGCCACUUCCCCAAAGCCUCCCAGCUUGGAAGUUGCAGAGCAGGGACUAGAAGCCAGGUCUGACUCCAGGGCUGAAGCAUUCACAACCAAUGCCUCUCACUGUCUGACAGGUAUCACACUGAUGAGCAGGGGUGGUCGCUCUUGUCAGGGGAGGCAGUCUGCAGUAGACCAAGCAUCCGUGGGUUCCUUCAGACAUUCUUGCCCAGCCUCAGAAUGCAUCCCACCAUCCUCCUUUCCUUCCGUAGCCUGUCACCCCUCACAUUUUUCUAUUAUUAAGAGUCUCUGCCGUGGUCCCGCUCACGACCAGCAAUGGCCAGCAAACAGCUGUCUAAAUGUCCCACGCUUGCCUGAGAGUCCCAGAGACCAGGCAGCUUCCCCAAAGAACAACCCUGGGGCUGGAGAGAUGACUCAGAGGUUAGGAGUGCUGGCCGCUCUGGCAGAGGACCCAGGUUUGACUCCCAGAACCCACAUGGCGGCUCACCACCGUCUGUGACUGCGGUUCUAGGGGAUUCGGCACCUUCUUCUGCCGUCUGUGGGGGCCAGGCAUGUGUGAGCCGCACAGACACGCACGCAGGUCAGCAUCUGUACACAUCAAAAAUAAAAAUACAGCAAAAAGCUUGCCCAGGUCAUCUGUAAUAUGCAGACCAAUGGGAACCUCCAGCAUAGAGUGGGUAGGAGACGGAUGCUCAGGGAGGGAUGCUCAGAGAACGGGAGGGAGCUUAAACGAUAAAUUAGUUCCUAACAACUGGUCAGGAGCAGCAUGGGUAGCAUGCAGGCAGGGGCAUGGGUUUCUGCUACUCCCCAGCCCACUUCUAGAAAGAGCCACUGAGGGUCCAGCACAGACAUACUGUGGGGUCGGGGUGGGGUGAGGGUGCAUGCAGGGGUCAGCUGGAGAGGGACCCAGUUUCCUACUUCAGACCUAGCAGUUUUACAGAAGGGAUUCAAUGGAGGACAUUGCAGUGUCUCAUGCACCGGAGUGUAGAGAGCGGCGCGGUGAAACAAAGAUGGCGCCGACAUCCAGCCUUGUCUGGAUAUAAACGACUUACUGCGCAUGUGCAGGCUUGUCCCCUUGCUAGGGCUCCUUCUAGUGGUGAACGGCGGUACUGCACACGUGCGGUUUAUGCACCAGGUGUCAGUUGACUGUUAAUAUGCUAAUGAGGUGAUUCAUUCUCCGCCAAUCCCUGGAGGACAAGUAGUGGGGUGAUCCAAGCCCCACCAAUCCCUGAGAGAUAAUUAGCAUACUGUUGUCUAUAUAAGCCGAGCGAUUUUGCUGCUCGGGGUCCCUGUUCAAGAGAGCUGUAACACUAAGAAGAGCUGUAACACAGUAAAGGCUUGUUCGCAGAAGAAUCCUGUUGCCGAGCGUCGUUCUUGCUGGCGGGACAUUAGGCGCGCGACACCGGAGGGUCAGUGAGGGAACAAUGAUCGUUUAAAAAGGAAUCUGUCAGAUGGAGACCGAUGUUGAGAAAUGUUCCUACUGUUACGGGGCUCUGCUGCCGAAGACGUAGAGUCCCUUAUUAAAGCUCUUAAUAUGGUAAGUUACGUUUGAAGCAAUUUUCCUAUUUGUUGAAAAAGAAGGAAAAAAAAAACUUUAAAGGGAGAGGUUUGGUGGAUUCUGCACUGUUCAUACAAAACUUCGACCUUCCAAUUAAAGUGAGGGGGACAGAGGAGCAUCAAGGAAAACUUGAAAGUUAAACAAAAAAUUCCUGCAUAAUUAGUGGGCUCGGUUCACAAUGAAGCUCAUUAAAAAGUUGAUCUCACCCUGGAGCUCAGCAAAGAUGUGGGGGAGGAGAGGGUGCAUGCGGAAAAGAUGGCUGACAGGUGUGGGCCUGGGGCAUCACGCUCUAAUGCCCACAAGUAUAACUACAGGUAACAACAGCAGUAACAACCACUGAGAUUGAGGACUGGAAUACACAAAAUCAGUGUCCCCAGAUCGUUAUCCUCCCCCACCCCCAAAUGAAACACAUUUAACCUCACGGCUUUUAACACAAAUGAUUCACCAGUUUUUUGUAAAGAUUUUUGUGCCAGUGUUCACGAGGCUAAACAUUACAAUGGCAACAUAGUGUUUUUAGAAAUUAUAUACAAAUGCUGUCAGUUACAAAAGUCCUAUAAGCCACCAAUAGAUGGUCACGGGGGUGGAGGGGGUAGGGGGUGGGAGUGGGGUGUUUGUGUAUGUUGGGGUGGUACUGUGAGUCAAACCAGGUCCUUGCACACAGAGGCAUUAUCUAGCACUGGGCUGCCUCCCUGGCUCUCUGCUUUCCAACUGGAUCUCACUGGGCAGUGUUGUCCUUUUUCCUGGAUCUCCCUAUAAGCCCGAGCAGGCCUUGAACCCGUGACCCUCUGCCCAGCUCCUGAAUGCUGACAUUGGGAGGACAUACAGCACAUACCUGGCUGCAGCUAACAUGUUACUCCCGGUUGGCAGCACUGUCAAAGCUGGGGCAGACCGUCCUAGGUUAGGGAAGAGGCCCGGCAUGAUCCAGCCCUAUAGUCAAGGGGAAGGGGACUGGUAGCCAUGUCUGGGAGAAGGGAGAAAGUAGUUUCUACAAAUACUGCUCUCCGUGCUCCUUAAAAACUGUGCGUUUCUUUUGUAAAAUUAACACAGAGUAAAGUACAAAGUAAAAGGUUUUUUGUUUUUGUUUUUUUAAAUCUCUCUUACUAAAGUAAAGUUGUUCUAGUUUUAGUUUCAAUCAAGUCUAAGGGCUAAUUCUUAAAUUAACCUAUCAGCAUAGUUUCACUAAAACAUUAAGAGAGCCCUUUGUGGCACAAACCAGUGGGUCUCUGCGAAGCUGAGUUACUCUGGAAGGCACCAAAACCAAAAAGGCAUAGCUGCUAAAUAAAUCCUAGAAAAAAAAUAGUUAUUAAAGGUAUGGGUGUCGGGGUGCAUUCUGUGGUCAAUGCAUGUUCUGUGGUCAGGGCAUGCGCAGUUCACGCUUCCCUACCAGGAACUAUCCGACAUGGCGCCAUUCUCCAGCUCCCGGUGUCUUGCUGCCUCGAGCAAGCCCUUUUCUUUUGCUGUGCUUUGGCAGCUCUUCCCGAGUCCCUGUGGCUUAUGACAGUCUGUCCAAUUAGCUGUCGGCAGGCACGCUUCCUUUUCCCUCCGCUGCAAUGACCUUACACACUCGAAGGAGACUCCAUACCAUUAACUGGUUUAAUCAGAGCUAAACAGAAAGCUGGUCUCAAAGCCCCACUGCUAGGCAACAAGGGGAGCCCGCCGAACUAACUCUCUGGCAGAGAGUAUUUCUAAACUCCAGAUGAGAACAAUUACUGCAACUUCACAAUAAAUCGUUAACUUGGUCAAGAAUAAUAUCUUGUAGAAAGUGUCAGGAAAAGUCGACAAUUGCGAUCUGAAAAUCACCAGUCUAAAACUCUGGAGGAUAGACAUGAUGCUCUUUCUAGAUUCUGGACCAUUUUGGAUUUCAGAGAUUUUUGACCGGGUGUGCUCGAUUGGUAAAAUCUGCGCAUGCAUCCUCAAAUACAAAUAACUCCCAGGUCUGAAUCGCCUGUGGUCCUAAAGCAUUUUGUAUACAAGGACACACAACCUAUACAGGGAAAAACUAAGUUAACCUAUCAGAAUUUAUUUCUCAUUUCCUUGGAAGGCAAGGUCUCUGGUACCCUGGCCUCCAACUUGUUUAUAGCUCAGGGGGAUCCUCCUGCCUCCUUUACCUUCUGAGCCCUGGGAUUAUAGGCCUGUUUUCUUGUAGUACUCCGGAAUUAAAUCAGAGCUUCACGCAUGCUGGGCAAGCACUCUACAAACUGUGCUGUGUCUCCAGGCCCUGCUUGCUGAAUUUAAAUGAGUGUCUUUUCUGAUCUAUCCCAAUGCGCAAUGGAGAAUAUAACUCCGCCAUGCACCAUGGGUAACUAGCUUCCUGUACGUGCUUGAACGGCUCGCCUCCACCGAGCGUGAGAGGCAGCCAAUACUCUCCUUCAGAGGCACCUUUUGCGAGUCCUUUGCUGGUAUCUGCUUUGAGAAACAGUGAGGGAAGCCAGUUCUCACCGUGAAAUCAGACUAAUUUAUUAUCCUUAAUCCGGAGCUAGCUUAGACUUCAAGCUCUGUUAGCUAAAAUACUUUAUCCACAUCUAUCAAGGGAGGAAAAGGUUAAGAUUAGGGGGAAGGCUUUUAAAGGCUAACAGACUUCAUGAGAAGGGUUUCUUACGACUUCGUAGAAAACAAACCCCUCUUAAAAAACAACUUUAAUGAGUUAAGUGCAAAAUGAAUGGGAAACAUGUGGGUUAUAUUUCCUUUAAGAUGUGCGAGGGCUUAAACACUCGAGGGAAUGUGUUUGCAAAGUGUGUCUGAGGAGUGUUACAAAAUAGAUUUCAAAAUGCUUGAAAAAUAGCCUGCGGUAGCUAACCGGCCUCAGAUGGGUCACGACAGUUCAGCCGCCCCUCACUGCAAAAUGACUGCAAGCUCGGCCGUCCAAGAUUUGUGUUAUGGAAGGGUAGUCAUACUGUGGUUAGUUAUUUGUUUAGGAAAUUACUGAAGAUGUGCUAACUGGAAGACAUCUGGAGCGUUCGGCAUGACACUGGGCUGAGGAAUGGAGCCUCAGUGGUGCCCAGUCGCUGAGGACAACCAUGCAUGCAGCCAGGGGAAUGGGGCCGAGACCCCGAGUGGGCAACUUGUAGAGAGCCGGACCACUUACAGGAGGCUCAAAAUGCAUUGCUCUGAAGCUCUCAGGAUGCUAGGUUUAUUCCGUAAAGCCUUGCACUGAAAAACAAGACCCAUGCACAUGCAUGCCCCCAAUGCAGCAGCAGCAGCAGCAGCAGCAGCAGCAGCGACAGCCCCGGUUUACAGCUCAUGACACUGCAGCGCCUGAUUCCCCACGUGUAUCACUAAUGUAAAAAGCAACAGGAUGUGCUAUGACACUCUCUAAAAAUGCCCUGGUAAACGUACCCUGCCAGGAAGGGAAGGUGAGUGGUUCAAACCCUUAGAAGGCAGGGCAAAUCUGCCGAGUAACUUUUGUAUGUGGUAAUCUGGGGUCUAACCACAGCUAAGCUCGAUUGUGAUCCCAUAUAAAGCAGGUCACCGUACAGCCUGUCUCCUCUCUUCAGGAGGUGGAGUAGGAAUCCAGUGACAGUAAAUGCAUCUCAGAUAUUACUUGACACUGCAAAUGCUAUCUCCAGUCCUUUCAGGCCAGUGCGUCCUGUAUUUCCUAACUAUUGGCAACUCGAAUUAAUCAGCUCUGCACUCCCAAUCCAAAAUGCUCCAGAACGGGAAUUCUAGACAAGAUAUACCACAAGUGGAGACCGACACUGACAGGACACAGUCAAAAUGUAAGAUUACUGUCGGGCUCCAUCUAGAUCUAUUCAAAACAUACACUCUUGGUUUAGACUUUGGUCCCAGGCUCAAGAUAUACACAAAUAUUCCCGAGUCCCCAAGCAGCCAGACUCUUAAGCACUUCCAGCUGCCAGCACGAUGAAGGAGAAGCACUCACACUGUGUAUAUAGCAAACAUUUUGCUCUGUGACACGUGACUUGCUUUUGCUUCAUAGUGAGAAAUGCACGCGUGUUGGUUCCUAGACUAGAAGAUCAUUGAAAAUCGCCAGUCAACGCCUCACCUCAGAGAGAGAUGUCUGGACCAUGGUUGGCUCCUGAUUUCAGCCCUGGAUAAUGGCGAGUUGGAAGAAGUAAGGUUAGGAGAGACCAUAAAGGGGACAAAAAUUGCUUUGUUUCCCACCCAUUUGCGGGGUAGAAGAAGAACCAGCCAGGAGAGACACGGAAAUCCUGUUCCUGUUAGGAAGGAAGUAGAGGAUGUAGGUAGGGGACAGAAGAUUGCUCAGGGCAUUCUCAGACUGAUUGAUUCCUGCUUUCUCAGGGGAAACCCUCUAGCAGUGAGUUCUGCUGUGCCCCAAUCCAUCUCACAACUUCAAGCUGCACUGGUCCUGGGCCCUACGCAAAGGACAAAGGACUGAUGAACAGAGUGGGACAAGUUGGUCCUUCCUGGUCUCUUCUAGUUUGGUACCGCUCACCCAAGUCUUUUCUUGUCUACACUUCGGAAGGGUAAAACCCACUUGUGGUCACAGGGAGUGAGAAAAGUGGGGCCACAGAACUGUUUCCAGGCACCUUCCAAGCUGUAAAUAUGACCCAGUUGUGUGGCAAUGGAGCGAUGUGCAAAUCCCAACUUCACGCUUGGUUUACCUAGAGCAUUUCUGGGAUUUACGUGUCUUCGUUUCUCUUUCGUGGUUCUGAUAAGACUGCCAAGAGCCACAUAAGGGAGAAUGGUUUAUUCUGGCUUACAUUUUAAAAGUCCAUCAUGGCGCGGCAGUCACAGUAGCAGGGGCAGCAAGCAUCUGGUCACGUGGCUGAUCACGUGGUGCAUCCACAGUCAGAAAGCACAGAGGGAUGCACGCGUGCUCGUGCUCCAAGGGACGCAUGCGUGCUCGUGCUCCAAGGGGCGCUUGCGUGCUAGUGCCCCACUCACUUUCUCUAACACAGUCCGGAAUCCUCACACAGCCUGCCCACAGUUGAGAUAUAUCUUACCACAUCAAUUGACAUCAUGCAGAUGACUUCUCAGACAUUCUCAGAUGCUAACAUUAAUCUAGAUAUUUCCUCACAGGUGUGCCAGAAGCUUGUCUCCUAGGUAACUGAGGAUCCUGUCAGGAUGAUGAUUAACACAUCACGCAGACUCACAAAGAAACCAGAGAGAUGACAACAUACAAUUCACACACCCGAACUUCACCCCUCCCUGUCUCCAAACAGCCCCAACUCAGUCUCCAUGACAGCGGAGCAAAGGUUUCACCAGAACACUGAGAAACCAGUGGACUGUGUGACAUGUGUGAACCUGCUCCUUGGGGUGAAAUACAUUCAAAUAAAGGCCGGCCACACAGGGAAGCACAACGUCUACGCUUCACGGAUCUCACCUUUCCCUCGGGAGGCAGAGGCAAGACGCUCUCUGUGACUUCAGCUUGGUUUACGUAUUUAUUUCCAGGCUGGACAGGGGCUACAAGAUUGCCGUUUCUCCCUUUAUGAGCUAAAUCCAUGCUUUAGUAGAAGCUGGGAGUGACAGUUACCAAAGGAAAUAUCCAGCCAGAGCCUCAGAGUCCAGCACGGCUUGGCAAGCCACACAGCCUCCAUCUACCUUCCUACACACAGAGAGUGACCAGCAGUGUGGCCAUGACGGGAGCAUCCACGACGCUCCUGUCACACAACUACGCGCAUGCCGGUCACUGGGCUGUCGCUCCAGUGCUCCUGUUUCCCAGGGAAGUAGACCGAGUACUUCUACUGUGGUAACACACCUGCUUUACAAUCCAGAGCAGCAAAGAAAACAGUUCCUACUGUGGGCAAGGUAACGUGCCUCGCGCGGCCAUGACUUGUGCGGCCAUGACUCGUGCGGCCAUGACAGCAUGUCUUACAGAAGCAUGUCUUACAUCUGAGCGGCCUCUUACAGAUCCGCGCAGGAGUUUAAGACAAGCAAAGCCUUUGCCACCCACUGACAGCUUCUGAGGAGGGAGAGAGUCGGAAGCACAUCUGACUUACUAACUCAGCGGCUACAGACCAACCUAGCAUAGACGCAGGCCUGCACUGCGGGAGCAUGAGGACUUCAGGGGGAAAAAAGGUUUAUGCAAAGGUAAGUAAUGCCAAUGCCAGGAAAGGGCUACCAACCACCAGGGUUAGAGAGAAGGGCUGUCUAUCUGUCUGUCUGCCUGGCUGCUUGUCUGCCUCUCUCUCUCUCUCUCUCUUCCUUCCUUCUUUCCUCCCUCCCUCCUUCCCUCCCU